ensembl:lncRNA MYO3B-AS1 MYO3B antisense RNA 1
GAUCCUCUCUGUUGUGAUUCAUCCCCCCGGGGCCCUACAGUUUCUCCUUCCUGACUCUUACAUUUCUUUGGAUGGCAUCAUUAUUUACCUGUCUCCUCCCAUAGUUAGGUGCCAAGCACUGUGGAUUCUGCCUCUCAGUGUCCAGACACCCAUUUUCCUUCCCACUGUUCCUUCCCCAUGGAGAAGCCUGUGGCUGGCUGACAGCAGAGAGAGAUGCUCAACUUGGAGAAGGUGUUACCUGGGCCAGGUGGGGAAGGUUUGUUUGCAGAGCAAAGAAGUGAAGCCUAUUCAACGUGAAAAAGAUGAGGAUGAAGACCUUUAUUAUGAUCCACUUCCAAGUAAUGAACAAGCAUGGGUAUGAUGGCUAGAGCUUGAGCAGCCAUUGUGGACAUCAGAUGAACUUGAAAGUGAAAACUAUGAGCUGAAUACGACAAAGCAAACAGAUAGAAAACUGGAUUCAUUAUGACAUUGCAAAGCUGCCAGACCAGCUCUAGUCUGCUUCCCCCUAAUCUUCCUUACUAAGAGAGAGAAAUAAACUUCCAUCUUCUUCAA